GACGGUGUUUCUGCAGGUGAUGUCGUUCAACAUGUAUCAAAAUGACUCUCGGCAACGGAUAUCUCGGCUCUUGCAUCGAUGAAGAACGUAGCAAAAUGCGAUACUUGGUGUGAAUUGCAGAAUCCCGUGAACCAUCGAGUCUUUGAACGCAAGUUGCGCCUGAAA
rnacentral:rRNA from 1 species